rnacentral:pre_miRNA from 1 species
CAUGCUGAUCUUGUAACAUUUGAUGAUGUGGGUGUCAAUUUUAUCAUUCAUUUUUGCAGUAACCCUUUAGUAAACCUCUCAUGAAUGAGUAUCCACGUCAUCAAAUGUUACAAGAUCAACAG